CCUACGGGUGGCAGCAGUGGGGAAUCUUGCGCAAUGGGCGAAAGCCUGACGCAGCGACGCCGCGUGAGUGAUGAAGGCCUUCGGGUUGUAAAGCUCUGUGGGGAGAGAAGAAUAAGUGCAGGCUAAUACCCUGAACGAUGACGGUAUCUCCUUAGCAAGCACCGGCUAACUCUGUGCCAGCAGCCGCGGUAAGACAGAGGGUGCAAACGUUGUUCGGAAUUACUGGGCGUAAAGCGUGUGUAGGCGGUUUGGAAAGUCGGACGUGAAAGCCCCGGGCUCAACCUGGGAAGUGCGCUCGAUACUUCCAAACUAGAGUGUCGGAGAGGUUGGUGGAAUUCUCGGUGUAGAGGUGAAAUUCGUAGAUAUCGAGAGGAACAUCGGUGGCGAAGGCGGCCAACUGGACGAACACUGACGCUGAGACACGAAAGCGUGGGGAGCAAACAGGAUUAGAUACCCUGGUAGUC
rnacentral:rRNA from 1 species